GAGUUUGAUCGUGGCUCAGAGUGAACGCUGGCGGUAGGCCUAACACAUGCAAGUCGAACGGCAGCACAGUAAGAGCUUGCUCUUACGGGUGGCGAGUGGCGGACGGGUGAGGAAUACAUCGGAAUCUACUUUUUCGUGGGGAGUAACGUAGGGAAACGUUACGCUAAUAACCGCAUACGACCUACGGUGAAAGACAGGGGAGUCUUCGGACCUUGCGCGAUUGAAUGAGCCGAUGUCGGAUUAGCUAGUUGGCGGGGUAAAGGCCCACCAAGGCGACGAUCCGUAGCUGGUCUGAGAGGAUGAUCAGCCACACUGGAACUGAAACACGGUCCAGACUCCUACGGGAGGGCAGCAGUGGGGGAAUAUUGGACAAUGGGCGCAAGCCUGAUCCAGCCAUGCCGCGUGGGUGAAGAAGGCC
rnacentral:rRNA from 1 species